UACAGAGGGUGCAAGCGUUGUUCGGAAUUAUUGGGCGUAAAGGGCGCGUAGGCGGUUCGGCAAGUCUCUAGUGAAAUCUCAGGGCUCAACUCUGAGUCUGCUGGGGAAACUGCCGGGCUUGAGUGUGGGAGAGGAGAGUGGGAUUCCCGGUGUAGCGGUGAAAUGCGUAGAUAUCGGGAGGAACACCUGUGGCGAAAGCGGCUCUCUGGACCACAACUGACGCUGAGGCGCGAAAGCUAGGGGAGCAAACAGG
rnacentral:rRNA from 1 species